rnacentral:lncRNA from 1 species
GUUCUUCCGCCAGCGCCCAUCGUGAAGACCACAGUUUCCUGUCGCGUGGAUGUGUUUCCUCUCUGGCCAUUGCCAUCCGCCCAAAUCUACAGACAUCCCGCAUGUUCCCGGGCUCGUCUCCCCAAUACAGGGCACCAAGCAUCCUACCAAGGCGAAUCCAUUGACCAGGAUUUAAGUUGAGACUCCCCCAGGACCCCGGGUGCAGCAUCUGGGUCCCCCUGCCCCGCCCUGCCUUGCGCCGCAGCCGCUUCCGUUGUCCUGCCAGGCUGUAGACUGCGCAGCCCUCCUGGAGACAGAUGGAAGCUCCUUGGGUCGACAGAUUACAGCUUCUGGAACCCCCUACUCCCUUCAACUCCGAGAUGGACACCCACUGUCCAGGGAGAGGAUGCCUGGAAAUAACAGCUGGGAUCUACAGUGGCCAAAGAGUUGUCUCCGUCUUGCUACAUCGACAAACUGGUGCUCCUGAGUGAGGAUUGUGCCCUGGGAUGGGGGAUUCAGUUUCUUCAUUUAUAGUUGGAAGUGGGUGAAGUGCCAGGAGCGACGGUACACUCCAGAGUGCUGUGCCCUGAUGGGCCUUUGAGUGGCCAGUGCAGUGGAUCAUCAGCCCUGUCUCCCAAGAGCUCCAGUCCCUUCUCCGGAGAGGAAGUGGGUCCACUGGCAGCUCAGGAGGCCAUAGCAGAUUGUGGGGCUCUGUGCAGUUGAUGUUAGUUAACCACUGGAUCCACGUGUUCACCGUGGCUUGCGCCCCUGCAUCCGAAAGUGAUCUUGGCUGCCGUGUCCUGGUCAUUGGUAGUGCAGGGAAAGGAUGCGGAAAGACGGGCUCCGAGCUCGGGGCGUCUGGCCUGGAGCUUUCCUACACUUGUGUCUUGCUCUGCAGCCUUACGGAAGUGUGGGUGGCGCUUUCUGGAAGCUGCACAAGUCAGUGCUGGGUCUUCGCAACUUGGUGUUCUGUUUCCAGAAACUUGGGGUGUUUGCAUGUGCUAGGUCAGCACAGAUUUCCAAAGGAUCUCUAGGUGGGUUCCCUAACUUUUCACAGAGGAGCAGAAGGUAGAUGACAGGAGGAGAGGUGGGGCUGGACUGAGGGGAGCUGUGUGUGCCAGGGUGGGGUGGGGCGGGGCGUGUAACAGCCCUUAAGCGUGUGUUGAGAGAAGGAGCUCCCUGGUACAGAGUGUGCAGCUCCCUUCCCAGCCUGUGGUCCCCGUGGCCCAAUGAGUUUUUGUAUCACUUGUGAGCCACUGGUCUUAAAAUGCAUGGUUUGCAGACCAAAAUGCAGUCCAACAUUAUUUGUUUCAUGUGUCUAUGUGAAUGCACAUAUGUAUGUAUGUCAUUUGUGCCUGGUGCCUGUGAAGAGUUUAUUGGGGGCUAGGAAUUUCAGAGGGUGACUCUUCAGGAUCUAUAUGGCUUCAGGCACGGCCAUGUUGGACAGUAGCUGGGAGCUCACAUACGUGAUAGGACCACCAGGCAGGGAGCUAACUGAAUGGCAUGGGCUUUUGGAGCCUCAAAGCUCUCCUGCCCCACCCCCAUGAUACCUCCACUAACAAGGCCAUACUUCCUAAUGGUCCCAAGCAGUUCUACCAACUAGGGACCAAAUAUUCAAGUAUAUGAGCCUAUAGGUGGAGGAACUUCCACACAGAUCCAAACUUUUAACAAAACAAAAAGCAGGAAAGCCAACUUUAUCAGAAGUUACAAUGUAAUCAGUGUCAGAAGGAAGAGAAUGGAAGUGGGAGACUGAGGUGGGGGGUAUGCUGAGGAUAUGGGAAGUGGGAGAUUGCGUGGGGGGGGGCUGAGGGUGUGGCUUUCAGUUGAGUGUCCAGCAUGGGAGGAGAAAGGGGGCUCUGGGAAGAAGCUGCUGCAGCCACCUUGUGUUCCCCCCACCCCCAGCUAAUAGCUGUGUCUUGGUUCCUGGUGAGAUCUUGGUUGACUCGGGGGUCCUGAGUGUGGCUUGUCUCUGCAGGAUUGUCACGUGUGCUCAACAGUCCUCCUCGGCUUUCCAGAAGAGGCUGGAACAGGGCCCUUGAAGAUGUUUGUGGACAUCAGAGGGCCAAAGACGACACAAAGUGAAACUGGAGACACCGCCCCCCCUUGGCAUCAUGAAACUGCCGAUGUUACUGGCUCAUGCAUGGGAGACACCAGCAUACAAAGUCUUGACACCAACACCUCAGAGGGCUGUGUUCUGUCCCCGUGACCAUCAUCUAGUGCCUGGAAAGACUAGUGACAAGAACUUGUUGCCAACUUCCUAUUACCUCCCUAACAGUUGUGCAAUAAACCCCAUAGGUUAAUUCAG